rnacentral:rRNA from 1 species
GAUGAACGCUAGCGGGAGGCCUAACACAUGCAAGCCGAGCGGUAGAGUUUCUUCGGAAACUUGAGAGCGGCGCACGGGUGCGUAACACGUGUGCAACCUACCUUUAUCUGGGGGAUAGCCUUUCGAAAGGAAGAUUAAUACCCCAUAAUAUAAUGAUUGGCAUCAAUUAUUAUUGAAAACUCCGGUGGAUAGAGAUGGGCACGCGCAAGAUUAGAUAGUUGGUGAGGUAACGGCUCACCAAGUCAAUGAUCUUUAGGGGUCCUGAGAGGGAGAUCCCCCACACUGGUACUGAGACACGGACCAGACUCCUACGGGAGGCAGCAGUGAGGAAUAUUGGACAAUGGGUGAGAGCCUGAUCCAGCCAUCCCGCGUGAAGGAUGACGGUCCUAUGGAUUGUAAACUUCUUUUGUACAGGGAUAAACCUACCCUCGUGAGGGUAGCUGAAGGUACUGUACGAAUAAGCAGCGGCUAACUCCGUG